CUUCCGGUGUGUAGGAACUGCAUCAACACUGUCAACAGAGGAAAUACAUUGUCAUGGAGUUUAUUGUUGAUUUUCUAAGAGUUAAAGUUUUUAUUUUAGCGUUAUUGAAAUGAGACACUGUAACUGGACGUAUGCACAGAUGGUACAGUGUAUCUCGGAACUUUGUCUUCCUCGGAUAAGGCAUGCAUAACGGCCGGCACACAUGUCCCAUGGAGAGGAGAAAAUAACCCCGAAGAGGAGAAGGAAAAAGAAGACGUCUAUGUUGCCCGGCUCCUAAAGUGAUCAAGCACUCUGAGAGAGUGAGAGAGAGCGAGAGAGAGAGAGCGAGAGAGAGAGAGCGAGAGAGAGAGAGCGAGAGAGAGAGAGCGAGAGAGAGAGAGCGAGAGAGAGAGAGCGAGAGAGAGAGAGCGAGAGAGAGAGAGAGAGAGAGCGAGAGAGAGAGAGAGAGAGAGAGAGAGAGAGAGAGAGCGAGAGAGAGAGAGAGAGAGAGAGAGCGAGAGAGAGAGAGAGAGCGAGAGAGAGAGAGAGCGAGAGAGAGAGAGCGAGAGAGAGAGAGAGAGCGAGAGAGAGAGAGAGAGCGAGAGAGAGAGAGAGAGAGAGAGAGAGAGAGCGAGAGAGAGAGAGAGAGCGAGAGAGAGAGAGAGAGCGAGAGAGAGAGAGCGAGAGAGAGAGAGCGAGAGAGAGAGAGAGAGCGAGAGAGAGAGAGCGAGAGCGAGAGAGAGAGAGACAGACAGACAGACAGACAGACAGACAGACAGACAGACAGACAGACAGACAGACAGACAGACAGACAGACAGAGAGAGAGAGAGAGAGGGGAGACAGACAGACAGACAGACAGACAGACAGACAGACAGACAGACAGACAGACAGACAGACAGGUAAGAUCGAAAGGGGGAAACAGAAACAAAGCAGUGAAACAAACAAUGGCUUUCUUGGACAACCCAGCCAUUAUCUUGGCCCACAUCCGGCAGUCCCAUGUGACCAGCGAUGACACGGGCAUGUGUGAGAUGGUGCUAAUCGACCACGACGUGGACCUGGAGAAGUGGCAGCUGGCCUCGGUGCCCGGCAGCAGCGGGGGUUCACUGGGUUCGGGCUCCCUAGGCGAAGGGGGCAGCGGAGGGGAGAACCCGGGCUGCGACCUCUCCCAGUCAUUGGACAUCACCUCCAGCUGGGACUUUGGCAUCCGUCGGCGCUCCAACACAGGACGUCAACAAGAAAGGCGCGAGAAACCAGGGGUGGCUGCUCAAAGACUUGAACGGUUAAGGAAGGAGCGACAGAACCAGAUCAAAUGCAAAAACAUUCAAUGGAAGGAGAGGUCGUCCUCGCAAUCAGCGGAGGACCUGGGUUCCCUGUUCGAGAAGAGGGACUUUAAAGGUAGACCCAGGAGCACUGGUACCAAGUCGACCCUCUCUCUCCGGCUCGAGCAAUGCCCCCAGCAGCUCAACAACCCUUUCAACGAAUACUCCAAAUUCGACGGCAAGGGCCACGUAGGUACAACCGCAACCAAAAAAAUUGACGUCUACCUCUCGAUGCAGUCUGCACAGGAGAAACUGCAUCCCAUGAUGGUGGUGACCAUCGCCAAUGCUCGGGUCCACGACCUCAUUGGCCUCAUCUGCUGGCAGUACACCAGCGAGGGCCGCGAACCCAAACUCAAUGAGAACGUGAAUGCAUACUGCCUCCACAUAGCAGAGGAUGACGGGGAGGUGGACACAGACUUCCCCCCUUUGGACUCCAAUGAGCCCAUCCACAAGUUUGGUUUCAGCACUCUGGCCCUGGUCGAGAAGUACUCGUCCCCCGGCCUGGCCGCCAAGCAGUCCCUCUUUGUACGAAUAAAUGCUGUCCAUGGUUUUUCUCUCAUCCCAGUGGACAGCCUGAAGGUGACCAUGAAGGAGAUCCUGCAGAAGGCACUGAAGAAGAGGAAAGGCUCUCAGAAAGGCUCUGGUCCCAUGUACCGUCUGGAGAGGCAGACGGAGCCCAACGUGCCCGUGGAUCUGGACUGCAGCCUCGAGAGCCAGAGCACCCUAGAGUUCUGCCUGGUCAGGGAAAACAGCUCCAGAGGAGAGGACAGUUCAGAGGAGGAUCCUCCCAUGGACAUCACCACGGUGCAGGACAUGCUGAGUAGCCAUCGCUACAAGUCCUUCAAGAUCAGCAUGAUCCACAAGCUCCGCUUCACAACUGACGUACAGCUCGGCAUCUCGGGGGAGAAGGUGGAGAUCGACCCCGUCACCAACCAGAAGACCAGCACCAAGUUCUGGAUUCGACAGAAACCCAUCUCCAUCGACUCAGACCACCUCUGUGCCUGUGACCUUGUGGAGGAGAGGAGCCCCAGUCAUGCAAUAUUCAAGCUCACAUACCUCAGUAACCACGACUACAAGCCCUUGUACUUUGAGUGUGAUGCUGCUACUGUCAAUGAGAUCGUGCUUAAGGUGAGUAAUAGGGAGGUUCCAUGUGCCUUUUGCCUCCAUAUCACAUGGGAAUAUGUUGUUUUAGCAACCACUUCCUCUACUUUACAAAGUCAGGUCUGCAGGGUACAAGUCACUAUUGACAGAUAUUGACGGUUUGACUAUAUUAUUAUGCAGUCCCCCACAUAUACCCGUAGGGCUAAAAAACCUAAUUGAAUGCGCACUCAGAGAUGCAAAUAUGAAAUAUCCUAUUAAAAAUGUAGAUUAAGGCCGUGAGGCAUUUUUACCACAUCGGCGUAUGAUAAUUCAACUGUAACCAUUAAAAUAGGGAAGAUAAUGAUACUCUCUUUAAUUAGCAUUAAUGAUGAUUCAUUUACUUUUAAGGACCUUUCUGUAAUAAGUCUUGAAAGUGGGGCAUGGGAAAGCAUCUCCUGAAGGGCAGGGCAGGUGAGGUGAAUGUUGAAGGCCGGGGCAGGUGAAUGUUGAAAGCCAGGGCAGGUGAAUGUUGAAGGGCAGGUGAGGUGAAUGUUGAAGGGCAGGUGAGGUGAAUGUUGAAGGGCAGGUGAGGUGAAUGUUGAAGGCCAGGGCAGGUGAAUGUUGAAGGCCGGGGCAGGUGAAUGUUGAAAGCCAGGGCAGGUGAAUGUUGAAGGCCAGGGCAGGUGAAUGUUGAAGGCCAGGGCAGGUGAAUGUUGAAGGGCAGGUGAGGUGAAUGUUGAAGGCCAGGGCAGGUGAGGUGAAUGUUGAAGGUCGGGGCAGGUGAAUGUUGAAGGCCGGGGCAGGUGAAUGUUGAAGGCCAGGGCAGGUGAAUGUUGAAGGCCAGGGCAGGUGAUGUGAAUGUUGAAAGCCAGGGCAGGUGAAUGUUGAAGGCCAGGGCAGGUGAUGUGAAUGUUGAAGGCCAGGGCAGGUGAUGUGAAUGUUGAAAGCCAGGGCAGGUGAAUGUUGAAGGCCAGGGCAGGUGAUAUGAAUGUUGAAGGCCAGGGCAAGGCCAGGUGAAUGUUGAAGGCCAGGGCAGGUGAAUGUUGAAGGCCAGGGCAGGUGAAUGUUGAAAGCCAGGGCAGGUGAGGUGAAUGUUGAAGGCCAGGGCAGGUGAGGUGAAUGUUGAAGGCCAGGGCAGGUGAAUGUUGAAAGCCAGGGCAGGUGAGGUGAAUGUUGAAGGCCAGGGCAGGUGAGGUGAAUGUUGAAGGCCAGGGCAGGUGAGGUGAAUGUUGAAGGCCAGGGCAGGUGAAUGUUGAAGGCCAGGGCAGGUGAAUGUUGAAGGCCAGGGCAGGUGAAUGUUGAAGGCCAGGGCAGGUGAAUGUUGAAGGCCAGGGCAGGUGAAUGUUGAAGGCCAGGGCAGGUGAGGUGAUUGUUGAAGGCCAGGGCAGGUGAAUGUUGAAAGCCAGGGCAGGUGAAUGUUGAAGGACAGGGCAGGUGAAUGUUGAAGGGCAGGUGAGGUGAAUGUUGAAAGCCAGGGCAGGUGAGGUGAAUGUUGAAGGCCAGGGCAGGUGAGGUGAAUGUUGAAGGCCAGGGCAGGUGAGGUGAAUGUUGAAGGCCAGGGCAGGUGAGGUGAAUGUUGAAAGCCAGGGCAGGUGAGGUGAAUGUUGAAGGCCAGGGCAGGUGAGGUGAAUGUUGAAGGCCAGGGCAGGUGAGGUGAAUGUUGAAGGCCAGGGCAGGUGAGGUGAAUGUUGAAGGCCAGGACAGGUGAAUGUUGAAGGCCAGGGCAGGUGAAUGUUGAAGGCCAGGUGAGGUGAAUGUUGAAGGGCAGGUGAGGUGAAUG